AUUGAACGCUGGCGGCAGGCUUAACACAUGCAAGUCGAGCGGGGUGAUGGUGCUUGCACUAUCACUUAGCGGCGGACGGGUGAGUAAUGCUUAGGAAUCUGCCUAUUAGUGGGGGACAACAUCUCGAAAGGGAUGCUAAUACCGCAUACGUCCUACGGGAGAAAGCAGGGGAUCACUUGUGACCUUGCGCUAAUAGAUGAGCCUAAGUCGGAUUAGCUAGUUGGUGGGGUAAAGGCCUACCGAGGCGACGAUCUGUAGCGGGUCUGAGAGGAUGAUCCGCCACACUGGGACUGAGACACGGCCCAGCCUCCUACGGGAGGCAGCAGUGGGGAAUAUUGGACAAUGGGGGGAACCCUGAUCCAGCCAUGCCGCGUGUGUGAAGAAGGCCUUAUGGUUGUAAAGCACUUUAAGCGAGGAGGAGGCUCUUUUGGUUAAUACCCAAGAUGAGUGGACGUUACUCGCAGAAUAAGCACCGGCUAACUCUGUGCCAGCCGCCGCAGUAA
rnacentral:rRNA from 1 species